rnacentral:rRNA from 1 species
GCCCAUAAACUGGKAUAACUCCGGGAAACCGGGGCUAAUACCGGAUAACAUUUUGAACYGCAUGGUUCGAAAUUGAAAGGCGGCUUCGGCUGUCACUUAUGGAUGGACCCGCGGUCGCAUUAGCUAGUUGGUGAGGUAACGGCUCACCAAGGCAACGAUGCGUAGCCGACCUGAGAGGGUGAUCGGCCACACUGGSACUGAUACACGGCCCAGACUCCUACGGGAGGCAGCAGUAGGGAAUCUUCCGCAAUGGACGAAAGUCUGACGGAGCAACGCCGCGUGAGUGAUGAAGGCUUUCGGGUCGUAAAACUCUGUUGUUAGGGAAGAACAAGUGCUAGUUGAAUAAGCUGGCACCUUGACGGUACCUAACCAGAAAGCCACGGCUAACUACGUGCCAGCAGCCGCGGUAAUACGUAGGUGGCAAGCGUUAUCCGGAAUUAUUGGGCGUAAAGCGCGCGCAGGUGGUUUCUUAAGUCUGAUGUGAAAGCCCACGGCUCAACCGUGGAGGGUCAUUGGAAACUGGGAGACUUGAGUGCAGAAGAGGAAAGUGGAAUUCCAUGUGUAGCGGUGAAAUGCGUAGAGAUAUGGAGGAACACCAGUGGCGAAGGCGACUUUCUGGUCUGUAACUGACACUGAGGCGCGAAAGCGUGGGGAGCAAACAGGAUUAGAUACCCUGGUAGUCCACGCCGUAAACGAUGAGUGCUAAGUGUUAGAGGGUUUCCGCCCUUUAGUGCUGAAGUUAACGCAUUAAGCACUCCGCCUGG